AUGACAGCUCUAGCUAACCCAGCAUAUCAUUCCCUUUUUUCCCAGACUUCUUUGAGGCCUUCCUCAGCAGGCAGUGCAGGAUGCUGCCAGCCACAUCCCCAUAUUAGCACAAGAAGAUACUCCAAAAAGUACUUCACAAACAGGAAUGAUGUGCAGAGUUCCUUGUGCUCCAGACAUAGCCUGGGGUCAGAUCCAUGGCUACAGUACUGGAUCUCAUCUCAAGAGCAACUCAGGUAUGCUCCACCUAAACAGAGCAUGGAGAGCUCUUGUCAUUUUGGAAACUGCACACCAGACUGUGGUACAGAAGGACCACACCUUUGUCUCUUCUACAGGAAGAACAAAGUUUUAAAAAGCCUAGAGUUAUUCUGCUACUGCUGAUUAUCUGGGAAGGAAUCAAGACUGAUAUCUCCAUCCAUUCAUAGAAGAGUACCACCAAAAUCAGAAUGGUGAAGCCAUUGUUUGCUGUAGAAAACUAGCAGAGCUAUCUGCAAAAAGCUUAAUGACUUACAGCUGGAUGGCUCAGUAAAGUCCUAAUAAUUUCCUGUAAAAUGUAUAGCGUUUAUAAAAAGGAGCUGAAGGAAGGAAAAUGAUGUCCAAAUAAUUCCUAACUUUUCAUUGACACAAAGGAUUUCCUGAGCUGUCAGCACAUUCUUCUGAUCUGUGUCCUUUUCUGCAGUUAGGAAGUCCAGGGUGCCAUUGGCAUCCCUACUCUUUUGAGUGAAGAAAGAAAGGAGAAUAUAGUUUCUGUGCAAAGAAUUCAGCAUCUCUUUUUGAUGUAGUGAAAUUUUUUGAAGUAUCUUAGGAGAGUGUGUUUGAAGCAAGGGGUCUUUGCAACUGGACUACUACAAGCACAUUAUCCCACACUGGUAUAAUGUGAAGUAGUAGAGAUGCUCCCCUUAGUUGCGUAGGAUCACCCCAGAUCCAUAAUCAGAAACGGGAAAUCAUAAUCAAGGAAAGGCCUAAAAAAAGCCUAAGAAAAGGCCACUUUCCAUGAUCUUCUUCUAUAUUAAAUAAAUUUAUUUUGGAAUAAAAACA
rnacentral:lncRNA from 1 species